AGUACGCUUAGGGGUGCGCGGUGCGGUUCUCGACGCCCACCAACCCUGCCCCCUCACCUCUCCCGGGCCCCCACCACGCGCACCCCUCCUCUUGCCGCCUGCGGCUUCCUCUUGUUGUUCGUUGUUUGGCUGGGCUUUUUUUUUUUGGUGGGGGGGCCGGGUGAUUGUAGUGUGUGUGCCAGCAGAGGAGGAAGUCAGGUGAGAGGGCCCUACGCACCCCCCCAAACCCAGCCCGCGUGGGGUGUAUCGCUCCCCACUAGGGGCAUGUGGGCCAGUUUUUUUUUUUCUCUCGUCAAUGUUCGGUCGAGACGAUCUCUCCUAGGGGGCCUCCUUCCCUUACAGCCUGCUCCGUCCAUCUUCUUCCACCCCACCCUCGCCCUUCUCAGCACCCAUCGAAGAGUGCUGCACCCCAACUGAGGAACACGUGGUGGAAGGAGAAGAAGGGGGGCCCUCUUGCAGAUCCCCACCCCUCGCCCGUGCCUGUUUAUUUAAAAUAUGUAUCCUCCCGUCGGCAGCUGUCCACUGGGAAAAGACUCUGAACUGAGAGGUCCAGUUUCUUCUGGAAGCAAAGGGGGCAAGUGAUGCGAAUUUAAUGACAGGGAGCUGGCGGAAGAGAGGGUCAAGGGAACCCGCCCCCAAGGUGACUGAAAGUCCGAAACCCCCUGCAACAGCAGAGUGACUUGGAGGUUCAGGACCCCAGGCUAAGGAGAAAUGAGAGGAAGUACCCAUCCUGAAGUUCCUGGUUGGAAUGUAUUUUUGAAGUUGAUUUAUCAAGUCAAACCUUUAGGGGCUAUCAAGGCAAACACCUUAAGUGAAGGGGAACUCACCACUUAAACCUACCUCAAGAUGAGAAAACUGAAACGCUGAGAGGUUGAGUAGCUUGCUGAAGAAUAUGUAGCUGGUGAGUAGAGAAACAGACAUUUGAACCAGGCUCUCUGCCUACACAACCUGCACUUGAAUCUGCCCUGGGCUGCUGGAAACAACCUAAAUAGCUAACAACUGGAGACUUGUCAAGAUGUUGCAGGUCUCUGCUCUUAUAAGACUGGCUGCAGAACCCAGGGCUGAACCCCUGUAGAAAUGGAUCAAAAGAUUCAACCAGCAAAUGGUGAAUCAAUGACAAAUCAAUAUUAAGGGGUCUGGAAAAGACCAAAGGGGAGCUUGCAUGUGAGAUCUCUUUGGGAACUUCGAAGCACUCUGUUAAUGAAAAGGGUAAAUUUUUUCUCUCUUCCUUUAUACCAUAAACUCCAUGAGAGCAUUUGACAGGAUCAGUUGUGUCAUCUUUAAAAAGAAAUGUUCGAUGACGUAUAUACAAAAAAUCAUAUUAUAAACCUUAAGUCUUUACAAUUUUUAUUGCCAAUUAUAUGUCAACAAAAAAGGGGGAAGUUAUAAAACAAUGAAUCAUUGAUUGAGUGAACGAAUCCAUGAAUGUUGUGGACUGAAUGUCUGUGCCCCACCCCCCCAAAUCCAUAUGCUGAAAUCCCAUCUCCUAAUGUGGUAGUAUUAGGAGGUGGGGGGUCUUUAGUAGGUAAUUAGGUUUAUAUGAGGCCAUGAGGGCAAAGCCCCAUGAUGGAAUUAGCCCUUACAAGAAAAGGAGGAGACACCAGCAUGUUCUCUCUCCACCAUGUGAUGAUACAGUGAGAAGGCAGCCAUCUACCAGCCAAGAAGAGGGCUCUCACCAAGAACUGAAUCUACUGGUACCUUGAUCUUGGACAUUUCAGCCUCCAGAACUGUGACAAUAAACGUCUGUUGUCUAAGCCACCCAGGUGUGGUGUUUGGUUAUAGUAGCCUAAGGGGACAAAGACAGUGAAUAAAUAAAUGAAUGAAACAAAACAAAGUCACAGAGUAGGAGAACAUGCAAUAUGAACAAAGAAUAAAGGGUUGUCUUUGAAUAUAUUUGGUGUAGCUGGGUGUUGGAGUGUAACCCAUAGCUAGGUGGGUGGGUGAGAAGCAGUGGUCCUUAGAGUAAGUUCUGUGGACGAGUAUCAUCUGGAAACUCAUUAGAAAUGCAAGUUCCUGGGCCCCCACCUAGGCUUACUGAAUCUGAAACUCAGGGGUGGGGCGGACAAUCUGUUUCAACAAUCCCUCUAGGUCAUUCUGGUGCAAAGCAAAGUUUUGAGAACCAUUACUUUGUACUAAUGCAGGAAGUUUGGAAAUAAUUCUGCUGUAAAUUCAGUGUUAAUGAAGAUUUUUAGCUGUGGAUGGAUAUAAUCAGAGCUGUAUUUCUAGGAUGAUGAGGCAUGAAGCUUUGCCUAAAAGAAUUUAUGGCUUCGAUAAAGCACCACUGGAAAUACUGGAAAACACAUUGUAUUCACCAAGCCCCAGAGUGAAAGAUUUUGAUUUUUCCUGAUUCCAGAUAAUAGCCACAUCAUCAGCUAAGAGGCAAAGCAGAGCUGGCAUUAUUCCCAAGCACUGGAGAAACCUGCUUGGUCUACAGAGACCAGACAGGAUGAGAAAGUUUCUAUGAAAAUAAAUCAGUUAACUACUAAAUAUGGUCCUCACUGAUCUCAGGGGGGCCUUUUAGUCCUGACCAGCUGCAGGGAAACAUGAAAUGGAACCUUCCAUACCAAGACAAAUGGGCAGCUCUUCCUACAACUGGCCUCACUACCUGAAAAAUGCAGCUCUGUCUUUAGGGCUGGUGGAGAUGGGUCUGCCCAAGGGGAAGGUAUUGGAUGGAAGAGAAAUGAAGAGCCUGGGGGGAAAACAGUAUCUUAAGAGAGAGUCUAGAAGCCCAAGAUACAAGUGUCAGGUGGGGAGGGAGUGGGGAGGAGAGGGGUGAGGGCUGUUCAGAGUGGUUUGGGCUGUUGGGAUGACCAAUUAUCUGGGUUUGCCCAGCACUCAGGAUGUUGGGGAUAAUCCCUGUCAAACCAGGGCAGAUGGCCACCCUACAACUCUGCACCCUCAGCUGUGUUGAAGACUUGGGGAGAAGACCAUGUGAAAGCAGGAGAAUCACUGAUCUAAGCCUUGUUUCUCAAAAUAUUGCCUACACACUGGCAAUGUCAGUGUCACCUGGGAGUUUGUGAGAAAUGCAGCUCCUCAGGCCCACCCUAUACUUGCAGGCCCAGACCUGCAUGACUGCAAGAGCCCCAGGUGACGUGAGUGCACAUGGGCUGAGAAAGACUGCCUUGGCAGAUCCUCUGAGCCCUGGGAGGCUUCCCCCAGUAAAAAAAAAAAAAAAAAAAAAAAAUGAAGCACUGGUGGGGAGUAGAAUUUCUGGGCUGUGAUAUAGCCGAUGUCCAGGUUGUCCAGAUUCUAAGCUCAACCUGCAUCAACCCUGCCUGGGAGGAGCAGAAACAUGGAGAAGCUUACAUACUAAGGGCACCAAGAACGGAGAGCAAAGAAGGAAAAGGACAGAUGACACAAAAGAGCCAAGGGGGCCUCCUGAACUAUUAACAGUAGUAGUCCUAGGAAUGUAGGAAAGCCAGAAACCCAGCAAUUAUGCGGUGAGAGUAAAGCUAGAGAAGUAGUCUUCUGUUCCUAUACUGUGACCCUGUUUUGGUAAAACAGCAACAACAACAAGCUGGUGUGGGCUGGGAAAUGAAUUACACUGCAAAGUGGAGUCACGGCCCUGUGGGUAAGCUUUCAGAGGCAGAUAAAAAAGGAUCACCCACUAAAAGUAUUCAGCUUUCGCAUCUUGGCCUCACUCACUUGUGUAUCACUCAGAAACACAAAGCAAAUUCAGUUUUUUUCUUUUUAUCUACCUGGUCUGAUCAUCAUGGGUUCCAACUCUGCAUUCUAGCAAGAAUAAUUUGCACUUAAUUAAUAGUGUUUCUUUUUCUGCAGCUCGAACACAAUUCUUUGACUUGAAACAUUCUAACCAGUGGUUCUUAAACUCCAAACAUGCAGCAGAAUCACCUAGAGGGCAUGUUAAAACACAGAUUGCUGGGCCCACCCCCAGGGUUUCUGAUUCUGUACAUCUGGUAGCAACUUAAAUUUGCAUUUCUAAGGAGUUCCCGGUUGAUGCUUAUUAUUGGUCUAAGGAACAUACUUUGGAACCUCUGGUUCAAACUGUUCAGCAUGUUAUUCCUAUUCAAAGGUGAAGGGUUUCAAAAGGCUUAUAUUAAUACUUCUAAAAUUGGUUGACCUUUCUGUUCUACCUUGGAUCAAAUACAUGGUCGUCCUGCGUAUGACGACUCUGCAGCUCAUGGCAUAAGCCCCUCACAGUGCCCGCUCAACACAUCUGCACUGGCCUGUAUCUUAUUCAACAAGACAAGUCCUCUGGUUACAUGCUAGGAUGUCCUGGCAAUGGUGGUUUGUGAUAAAAAUGUCUAAAUACCAAUUCUUACUUGUGUUUAUCUCACUUCAGGCCAGUAAUAAUUUGUGGACUGGCACUGGCCCAUAGAUCACAUUUUGAGUAAUGCUGUUUAGAUGACUCAGUCUUUCUCAGAUUCUUACCCUCUUCCUUCUCUUUCUUAAGAUAGCAUUUGGGUAUACAAGAUGGCAGGGGUCUUAUUUUAUCCUUGUGGUACCCUUGUAGCAUGCACCAUCCUCUAGAGACUCCGUGAUCCUUGGAUUCGUUUUUUUCUCUGGAAUGGGGACCACCGAAAUGAAACGAGGUCCCAUCUAAUCUGUAGGAAUGAUGUGUGCGCCCAUAGCCCUGAACACUUCCCAUAGUGCCCAAGUUCCAACCCUGUGGCCUCUUUCCCUGCUCCUAGAUGGCUGCUAGUCUACCAGUAGUCACACUGGGGAAGUAAGAAGUUCCAGAGACUCCUGUUUUCCACGUAAAGGCCAUUAGGAGGCAGGAAUGCCUUCUUUUUGCUUUUUUAAAGAUUUUUUUAUUUAUUUGAGAAGGAGGGGGAGGGGCAGUGGGAGAGGGAGAGGAGAGAGGAUCUCAAACAGAAUUCCCACUGAGCUUGGAGCCCCAUGUGGGGCUCAUCCUCAUGAUCUCGAGAUCAUGCCAUGAGCUGAAAUCAAGUCAGAGGCUUAACCAACUGAGCUAUCCAGGUGUCCUGGCAGGGAUGACUUCUAAGUCCUGUACAUCUACCCACCUGCUGCCACCUCUGUUCAGUUGCUUCUGAGCCCCAGAGGAUGUGAUGCUGAGCCAAAUAGUCAUAAACCCCUAGAAACUGGAGUCCUGGAAGGAGCUCAUAACCUAGCCAAGUUUUAGUUUUUCAGGAAUUUUGCACUCUAAUUGUUCAACAUGGCCAUUAUUAGAAAUUAAAUGAUAAGAACAUAAAUUUAAACAAGUUAUAUUAAAAGCAAAGACGCAAAGAUAAUUAAUACUCAGAAUCUUCAUCUCCUAUUUAUUUAACUACAUUGGACUAUUAACCUAUGUUUUGCAUAUGUAUUUGGUAGAGAUACUAUAUAAUAAUGUACUACCGCACAGCUUUUCUAACUUUGUUCAGUGAUAUCAUGUUGAUAGUUUCAAAUCAGCCAAGGUAGAAGUAUUUGCACCAUGGAAAUGAGGAAUUAUCAAUCAAGGCUCAAGGGGUGCCUGGGUGGCUCAGUCAUUAAUCAUCUGCCUUCUGCUCAGGUCAUGAUCCCAGGA